GGUGGGGAUCCAAUCUGUUUACCACAGAUGUUGCUGAACUACUGCUCCCAUCAGCCAAGACAUAGUACAUGCUUGCUGGGGCUGAUGGGAGUUGUAGUUCAGCAACAGUUUGGAUAUGUUUAGUCUAUAAAAGAGGAGAGUGAGAGGAGAUAUGAUAGCAAUCUUCAAAUAUCUCAAGGACUGCCACAUGGAAGCUUGUUUUUUCCUGCUCCAGAGGCUAGGACCCAAACCAAUGGAUUCAAGACACAAGAAUGGAGAUUCCGACUAAACAUCACGAAGAACUUUUUAACAGUUAGAGCUGCUCAACAGUGGAAGGGACUCCCUCAGAAGAUAACACCAUCUAAUUACCGGUGGUCUGCACCAUCUGUAACAACACCGAAACCUUUUUCUUCUGGAGGAGGAAUCUACUCAAGAGCAGUUAUUAAGUUUGGGAAAGCAGCAAUUGUACAUACAAGGAGUGGAAUGUAAUUUUACCGCCAGGAGAAUUUAUAUGUAAGAAGACGACAAAUCUCCCUGCAUUCCCUGUCGAAGCAGCUCUAAUAGCUUUGGACCUUUAGCCAGUUUCUGAGCCCUCCACCUGAUGGACAGUAGCACCGGCAAAAUUGAGGAAUGCAUUGCAGCAGCAAAGGAAUCAAUGGCUGCAUUAUGUUCACAGUAUUCGUGAUA